rnacentral:rRNA from 1 species
UACGUAGGGUGCGAGCGUUGUCCGGAAUUAUUGGGCGUAAAGGGCUCGUAGGCGGUCUGUUGCGUCGGGAGUGAAAACUCAGGGCUUAACCCUGAGCCUGCUUCCGAUACGGGCAGACUAGAGGUAUGCAGGGGAGAACGGAAUUCCUGGUGUAGCGGUGAAAUGCGCAGAUAUCAGGAGGAACACCGGUGGCGAAGGCGGUUCUCUGGACAGUUCCUGACGCUGAGGCACGAAGGCCAGGGGAGCAAACGGG